GCCAAGAAGCAGGUAAGAAAAGUACUGGGCAUCGCUAUAUUGAAUGAGGUAAAUGUGAAUGAAGUUCACAGAAAAAGGCCCUAAAUCAAUAUCCCAAAUAUUUAAACGGCCUCAUUGAAAGCAUUUCAUUCAUGCCUGAUGUUGAUCAACUGAAGCGGGUGCGUUAUACACUGUCACGUCAGAAGAAUAGAAUAUGCAAGUCUCAUUUGGAUUAAGCAAUCAAGAACGAUAAUACCAAAAAUGUUUAUAAUAAUAAUAAAA